rnacentral:rRNA from 1 species
UGAGGAAUAUUGGUCAAUGGGCGAGAGCCUGAACCAGCCAAGUAGCGUGAAGGAUGAAGGUUCUAUGGAUUGUAAACUUCUUUUAUAAGGGAAUAACAGGCGCUACGUGUAGCGUUUUGCAUGUACCUUAUGAAUAAGCAUCGGCUAACUCCGUGCCAGCAGCCGCGGUAAUACGGAGGAUGCGAGCGUUAUCCGGAUUUAUUGGGUUUAAAGGGAGCGUAGACGGGAUGUUAAGUCAGCUGUGAAAGUUUGGGGCUCAACCUUAAAAUUGCAGUUGAAACUGGCAUUCUUGAGUGCGGCAGAGGCAGGCGGAAUUCGUGGUGUAGCGGUGAAAUGCUUAGAUAUCACGAAGAACUCCGAUUGCGAAGGCAGCUUGCUGGAGCGUAACUGACGUUGAUGCUCGAAAGUGUGGGUAUCAAACAGG